AGUGGGUGGGGGUCCAGUGUUUCACA
rnacentral:miRNA from 1 species